AAGUCGUAACAAGGUUUCCGUAGGUGAACCUGCGGAAGGAUCACUAGUGAUUAAACGGAAAGCGUCUUAACUGACCUUUCCACCCUUCACAUCCACAUACACCCUGUGAACCGUUUGGCUCUUUUUUUCCGUUUCUCUCUUCGGAGGGAAGGAAGGGAGACGAAGAAGGAACGCUUUAGAUUUUCGUCAAAAGAAGUCUAAAGUCGACCUUUGGAGUUUUCCUGAAGGAAAAAGGAGUCAUCAAUCAUAUACAUACACGAAGUCUAAUGAAUGUAAACGUUUUAUAUAAACAAAAUAAAACUUUCAACAACGGAUCUCUUGGUUCUC
rnacentral:misc_RNA from 1 species